AAGUCGUAACAAGGUAUCCGUAGGUGAACCUGCGGAUGGAUCAUUAACAAGUAUUUAAACUCUAAUUAACAACUGUGAACUGUAAGGGACUUAUCCUCCCGCUUUUAUUAUAUUUUUAUACUGAAUACAUGAUAUAUAACAAUCAUAAAACUUUUAGCAACGGAUCUCUGGGCUCUC
rnacentral:misc_RNA from 1 species